UACGUAGGGUGCAAGCGUUGUCCGGAAUUAUUGGGCGUAAAGAGCUCGUAGGCGGUUUGUCACGUCUGCUGUGAAAACUCGGGGCUUAACUCCGGGCCUGCAGUGGGUACGGGCAGACUAGAGUGCGGUAGGGGAGACUGGAAUUCCUGGUGUAGCGGUGAAAUGCGCAGAUAUCAGGAGGAACACCGGUGGCGAAGGCGGAUCUCUGGGCCAUUACUGACGCUGAGGAGCGAAAGCGUGGGGAGCGAACAGG
rnacentral:rRNA from 1 species